AAUUAUGCUCGAAUUGCCUAAUUAACACUCGAUAAGGGUCGGGAAAAAUCCCACGAAGCAUCCAAUAAAUACUAUAGGCAAUUCUCUAUCUAAGUACACUAACCAAACAACUAAUAUGCAAUGCAAUUAACUAAUAAUCACUAAUCAAUUCUAAUCUAACCACCUAAUUACACUUAACUAACACUAAUCAACCUUUAAGUAUAAUUAGCAAACUAAGAAGGCAUUAGUGAGUAAAACUCACUUAAAACGACGAGGUCGACGCGAGGAUCGACUUUCCUCAAAGCGGGCCGAGCAUCUGGGCUCGGGAAGACGGCCAAAACGGGCCACGAAGUUGCUGCCAUACCCAUUUUCUUCCUCUCGGUUCACUGCUGGUUGGGGCCGGAUUCGAGGCCGAGACGGUGAGGCAAGGCCGGCGGAGGGCGAAGGGACUCCGGUGGGUCAAGGUGGCAGCGUACGGUGGCCGAAGGUGGCCGCACUAUGGCAUGUGCUAGCCAAAACGGAGCUGGACAGCAGCUCUAGAACAGC
rnacentral:lncRNA from 1 species